rnacentral:rRNA from 1 species
ACUGCAUCACUCUGAAUAUACUUAAUCUACUCUGAUUUUUGGAAGCUAAGCAAGAUUACACCUUGCUUGGACUUGGAUGGGAGACUACCUGGGAAUACCAGGGGU